GGGGUCGGUGAAAUUCCGAACCGGCGGUAACGGAGCACGGACUCCGCGAGCCCGCGACCCGAUCGUUUCCAGCGAUCGGUUGACCCGGUGAGAAUCCGGGGCCGACGGUUAAAGUCCGGAUGGUAGUUGG
rnacentral:ncRNA from 1 species